rnacentral:rRNA from 1 species
UACGUAGGGGGCUAGCGUUGUCCGGAAUCAUUGGGCGUAAAGCGCGCGUAGGCGGCCCGGUAAGUCCGCUCUGAAAGUCCAGGGCUCAACCCUGGAAAGCGGGUGGAUACUGCCGGGCUAGAAUCCGGAAGAGGCGAGUGGAAUUCCUGGUGUAGCGGUGGAAUGCGCAGAUAUCAGGAGGAACACCGGUGGCGAAGGCGGUGGUCUGGGCCGACACUGACGCUGAGGAGCGAAAGCGUGGGGAGCGAACAGG